rnacentral:rRNA from 1 species
GACGAACGCUGGCGGCGUGCUUAACACAUGCAAGUCGAACGGAAAGGCCCUGCUUUUGUGGGGUGCUCGAGUGGCGAACGGGUGAGUAACACGUGAGUAACCUGCCCUUGACUUUGGGAUAACUUCAGGAAACUGGGGCUAAUACCGGAUAGGAGCUCCUGCUGCAUGGUGGGGGUUGGAAAGUUUCGGCGGUUGGGGAUGGACUCGCGGCUUAUCAGCUUGUUGGUGGGGUAGUGGCUUACCAAGGCUUUGACGGGUAGCCGGCCUGAGAGGGUGACCGGCCACAUUGGGACUGAGAUACGGCCCAGACUCCUACGGGAGGCAGCAGUGGGGAAUAUUGCACAAUGGGCGGAAGCCUGAUGCGGCAGCGCCGCGUGCGGGAUGACGGCCUUCGGGUUGUAAACCGCUUUCGCCUGUGACGAAGCGUGAGUGACGGUAAUGGGUAAAGAAGCACCGGCUAACUACGUG